rnacentral:rRNA from 1 species
UGGGGAAUAUUGGACAAUGGGCGAAAGCCUGAUACAGCCAUGCCGCGGGUGUGAAGAAGGUCUUCGGAUUGUAAAGCACUUUAAGUUGGGAGGAAGGGCAUUAACCUAAUACGUUAGUGUUUUGACGUUACCGACAGAAUAAGCACCGGCUAACUCUGUGCCAGCAGCCGCGGUAAUACAGAGGGUGCAAGCGUUAAUCGGAAUUACUGGGCGUAAAGCGCGCGUAGGUGGUUUGUUAAGUUGGAUGUGAAAGCCCCGGGCUCAACCUGGGAACUGCAUCCAAAACUGGCAAGCUAGAGUACGGUAGAGGGUGGUGGAAUUUCCUGUGUAGCGGUGAAAUGCGUAGAUAUAGGAAGGAACACCAGUGGCGAAGGCGACCACCUGGACUGAUACUGACACUGAGGUGCGAAAGCGUGGGGAGCAAACA